rnacentral:rRNA from 1 species
AGGGAAUAUUGGUCAAUGGGCGAGAGCCUGAACCAGCCAUGCCGCGUGCAGGAUGACGGCCUUCUGGGUUGUAAACUGCUUUUAUCAGGGAAGAAAAGGGUGAUGCGUCACCGAUUGACUGUACCUGAAGAAU